rnacentral:tRNA from 1 species
GUGGUGGCUCAGUGGUAGAGCACUUGCCUACCAUAUGUGAGCCACUGAGUUCGAUUCUCAGCACCACA